rnacentral:rRNA from 1 species
UACGGAGGGUGCAAGCGUUAAUCGGAAUUACUGGGCGUAAAGCGUGCGCAGGCGGUUUGUUAAGUCUGUUGUGAAAUCCCCGAGCUCAACUUGGGAAUUGCAAUGGAUACUGGCAGGCUGGAGUAUGGUAGAGGAAGGUGGAAUUCCUGGUGUAGCGGUGAAAUGCGCAGAUAUCAGGAAGAACACCCGUGGCGAAAGCGGCUCUCUGGAACGGUACUGACGCUGAGACGCGAAAGCGUGGGGAGCGAACAGG